AUACAUCUCUUUCUGUUUUGAGAUUUUCCGAAUUUAUCUCUUUCGCACGUUCAUGCUUGCAAUAGUGCUUAUCCCCAUGGAACACUGUAUUCAACUUUUCUAGAAAUCUUCAAUCCAAUAUCUGUAUUGACUGAACGGAAUCUGAUAAGAUUUAGUUCUUGCCGUGAGUGGGCACAUUCCCAGCCAGCAGAGAUUCAUCGUCAGAAUAAAUAGAAUCAGCAAAACUUGUUCAUGCAGUACCACCUGCAGACACUGCCCUAGCCCUCGCUCUCCGCGGCCUGGCUCCACUGGCAGUCCACCUCGCUGUCCACCUGCACAGCCC